UACAGAGGGUGCAAGCGUUGUUCGGAAUCAUUGGGCGUAAAGCGCGUGUAGGCGGUUCGGUAAGUCUGCUGUGAAAGUCCAGGGCUCAACCCUGGGAUGCCGGUGGAUACUGCUGAACUAGAGUGCGGAAGAGGCGAGUGGAAUUCCCCGGUGUAGCGGUGAAAUGCGCAGAUAUCGGGAGGAACACCAAUUGCGAAGGCAGCUCGCUGGGACGUUACUGACGCUGAGACGCGAAAGCGUGGGGAGCAAACAGG
rnacentral:rRNA from 1 species